rnacentral:rRNA from 1 species
AACGAACGCUGGCGGCAUGCCUAACACAUGCAAGUCGAACGAGAUCUUCGGGUCUAGUGGCGCACGGGUGCGUAACGCGUGGGAAUCUGCCCUUUGGUUCGGAAUAACAGUUGGAAACGACUGCUAAUACCGGACGAUGACGAAAGUCCAAAGAUUUAUCGCCAGAGGAUGAGCCCGCGUAGGAUUAGCUAGUUGGUGUGGUAAAGGCGCACCAAGGCGACGAUCCUUAGCUGGUCUGAGAGGAUGAUCUGCCACACUGGGGCUGAGACACGGCCCAGACUCCUACGGGAGGCAGCAGUGGGGACUAUUGGACAAUGGACGAAGGCCUGAUCCAGCAAUGCCGCGUGAGUGAUGAAGGCCUUAGGGUUGUAAAGCUCUUUUACCCGGGAUGAUAAUGACAGUACCGAGAGAAUAAGCUCCGGCUAACUCCGUGCCAGCCGCCGCGGUAA